CGAGCGCAACCCUUGUCCUUAGUUACCAGCACGUUAUGGUGGGCACUCUAAGGAGACUGCCGGGUGACAAACCGGAGGGAAGGUGGGGAUGACGUCAAGUCAUCAUGGCCCUUACGGCCUGGGCUACACACGUGCUACAAUGGUCGGUACAAAGGGUUGCCAAGCCGCGAGGUGGAGCUAAUCCCAUAAAACCGAUCGUAGUCCGGAUCGCAGUCUGCAACUCGACUGCGUGAAGUCGGAAUCGCUAGUAAUCGUGAAUCAGAAUGUCACGGUGAAUACGUUCCCGGGCCUU
rnacentral:rRNA from 1 species